GAAUUCUCUAGCUGCCUGCCUUCAGAUUUCAUCCAUACCAUCAGCUCUCCUGAGUCUCGAACCUGUCAGCCCACAUCACAGAUUUGGGCUCUCAGUUUCCAUAACCGGAAUUAUACACUACAAGAAAAUUCUGAAGGCAAAAUCUGGUACGAAUCCACUAUCCUCCAUGGAGACAGACACCGUCAAGGACAAGCACCUGGAUUAUCUCCUCCCUGCAAAGAGAUACAGGCUGGUGGGAAAGCUGCUGUCCAGCAAGCUCACAGACUUCCUCCUCUCUGCAAGUGUCUCAAGGCCAAAGACAGGCUGGUGGGAAAGCUCUGACCAGCAAGGCCAUACGCUCCCCCUCCCCUACCUAAAGCCCCAAAUAAAAACCCUUCCUUUUAGCUUUUCCGGGAGUUUGGGAUUUCAGUGUUAGCUGCCCUGUCUCCUUGCUCAGCACUGUGCAAAAAUA
rnacentral:lncRNA from 1 species